GGGUGUAGCUCAGUGGUAGAGUGUUUGCCUAGCAUGCAUGAGGCCCUGAGUUCAACUCCAGUGCCCA
rnacentral:tRNA from 1 species